rnacentral:rRNA from 1 species
UACGUAGGGUGCGAGCGUUAAUCGGAAUUACUGGGCGUAAAGCGUGCGCAGGCGGUCUGUUAAGACCGAUGUGAAAGCCCCCGGGCUCAACCUGGGAAUUGCGGUUGAAACUGGCGGACUAGAAUCUGGCAGAGGGGGGGUGGAAUUCCACGUGUAGCAGUGAAAUGCGUAGAGAUGUGGAGGAACACCGAUGGCGAAGGCAGCCCCCCUGGGCUGAGAUUGACGCUCAGGCACGAAAGCGUGGGGAGCAAACAGG